UACGGAGGGUGCAAGCGUUAAUCGGAAUUACUGGGCGUAAAGCGCACGCAGGUGGCUGAGUCAGUCGAUUGUGAAAGCCCUGGGCUUAACCUGGGAAUUGCAGUCGAUACUACUCAGCUAGAGUAUGGGAGAGGGUAGUGGAAUUCCCGGUGUAGCGGUGAAAUGCGUAGAUAUCUGGAGGAACACCGGUGGCGAAGGCGGCGUUCUGGACUGUUACUGACACUGAGGAACGAAAGCCAGGGGAGCAAACGGG
rnacentral:rRNA from 1 species